rfam:Salmo salar isolate Sally breed double haploid chromosome ssa15, whole genome shotgun sequence.
CGUAUGUAUGACUGUAAGUCGCUUUGGAUAAAAGUGUCGGCCAAAUGGCGUAUA